rnacentral:rRNA from 1 species
UACGAAGGGGGCUAGCGUUGCUCGGAAUCACUGGGCGUAAAGCGCACGUAGGCGGAUCUUUAAGUCAGGGGUGAAAUCCCGAGGCUCAACCUCGGAACUGCCUUUGAUACUGGGGAUCUCGAGUCCGGGAGAGGUGAGUGGAACUGCGAGUGUAGAGGCGAAAUUCGUAGAUAUUCGCAAGAACACCAGUGGCGAAGGCGGCUCACUGGCCCGGAACUGACGCUGAGGCACGAAAGCGUGGGGAGCAAACAGG